rnacentral:tRNA from 1 species
UCCCUCAUAGCUAAAUUGGUAAAGAAUCUGCCUGCAGUGCAGCAGACCCAGGUUCGACCCUGGGUUGGGAA